UCCUGGAAGUUUUUGUGUUUGUUUGAUUGUUUGUUCCUUCUUGCACUGAUUUCCUGGCUAUUCCUGCUCGAAAGCUUUACUGGACAAUGACUGAAUCCUUUUGACUUGCCUGCCAGAAAGCAGAUCAUCACAAGAAAAAGAUUUCAUGUGUCACAUUUUGCAGACAAACCCAAAAAGAACUUGGAUGCUUCCCUUUCCCUGAACUUGCCCCUAGAUCUCACUGGCCAUUUUAUUAGAGCAAUGUGGCAAAGCCUGCAUUGCAGUGACUUCAAAGGAGCCUCAAUGAGCCAUCUUUAUCAAAGAUUGGCCCAUACUCCAAGAAGAAACCUGAGCUGUGCUACCUUUGGGCACAAAAGUUGUGAUACUUCUGUUUCACGUAAGGUCCCACUAAAAGGUUUGUGUGACCUGGUGCACCAGGCUCAGCACUGAUGUUAAAUGGACCCUUUGUACUCAAUGUUUUAUGCCCCAAAAGAGUGUAUUCAAAUGCUAUUGUAACAAUAACCUGUCUCCUGCAACAAAAGUACUGAGCAAGAUGCUGGAUCAAAGUCAUCUCUUGGACCUGACGACAGUUUCCUUAUUUUGAGACCACUGAGUCAGAAAGGAGCUCCUCCUGAGCAUGCCGUGCCCUCAGCAGCUGGAUGUCCACCAGUGUAGUUGUAAGCUAUAUCUCAGGACUGGAAUGCCAGUUUCAUUGCCUGUACACACUAGGAGGUGACUCCUUUGUGAAAUAGCAUGGAACUUCCAGUGAAGCAGCACAUUGGUAUGUGUUAUGGACUAAAUAACACAUUCAAAUGUGUUAUUUGGAAAUAAGCACAUUUUCUGGAA